rnacentral:rRNA from 1 species
CCUACGGGAGGCAGCAGUGGGGAAUUUUGGACAAUGGGCGCAAGCCUGAUCCAGCCAUUCCGCGUGAGUGAAGAAGGCCUUCGGGUUGUAAAGCUCUUUCGGCAGGGAAGAAACGGUGCGGGCCAAUACCCCGCACUAAUGACGGUACCUGAAGAAGAAGCACCGGCUAACUACGUGCCAGCAGCCGCGGUAAUACGUAGGGUGCGAGCGUUAAUCGGAAUUACUGGGCGUAAAGCGUGCGCAGGCGGUUUCGUAAGACAGAUGUGAAAUCCCCGGGCUCAACCUGGGAACUGCGUUUGUGACUGCGAGACUCGAGUGCGGCAGAGGGGGGUGGAAUUCCACGUGUAGCAGUGAAAUGCGUAGAGAUGCGGAGGAACACCGAUGGCGAAGGCAGCCCCCUGGGUCGACACUGACGCUCAUGCACGAAAGCGUGGGGAGCAAACAGGAUUAGAUACCCUGGUAGUCCACGCCCUAAACGAUGCCAACUAGGUGUUGGGGAAGGAGACUUCCUUAGUACCGAAGCUAACGCGUGAAGUUGGCCGCCUGGGGAGUACGGUCGCAAGAUUAAAACUCAAAGGAAUUGACGG